GAAGAAAGAGGGAGGAGGGUUGAACACAUGCAAGUCGAACGGAAAGGCCCUGCUUUUGUGGGGUGCUCGAGUGGCGAACGGGUGAGUAACACGUGAGUAACCUGCCCUUGACUUUGGGAUAACUUCAGGAAACUGGGGCUAAUACCGGAUAGGAGCUCCUGCUGCAUGGUGGGGGUUGGAAAGUUUCGGCGGUUGGGGAUGGACUCGCGGCUUAUCAGCUUGUUGGUGGGGUAGUGGCUUACCAAGGCUUUGACGGGUAGCCGGCCUGAGAGGGUGACCGGCCACAUUGGGACUGAGAUACGGCCCAGACUCCUACGGGAGGCAGCAGUGGGGAAUAUUGCACAAUGGGCGGAAGCCUGAUGCAGCAACGCCGCGUGCGGGAUGACGGCCUUCGGGUUGUAAACCGCUUUCGCCUGUGACGAAGCGUGAGUGACGGUAAUGGGUAAAGAAGCACCGGCUAACUACGUG
rnacentral:rRNA from 1 species